GUAGGUGGCAAGCGUUGUCCGGAAUUAUUGGGCGUAAAGCGCGCGCAGGUGGUUCUUUAAGUCUGAUGUGAAAGCCCCCGGCUCAACCGGGGAGGGUCAUUGGAAACUGGGGAACUUGAGUGCAGGAGAGGAAAGUGGAAUUCCACGUGUAGCGGUGAAAUGCGUAGAUAUGUGGAGGAACACCAGUGGCGAAGGCGACUUUCUGGCCUGUAACUGACACUGAGGCGCGAAAGCGUGGGGAGCAAACAGGGAUUAGAUACCCUGGUAGUCCACGCCGUAAACGAUGAGUGCUAAGUGUUGGGGGGGUUUCCCGCCCCUCAGUGCUACAGCUAACGCAUUAAGCACUCCGCCUGGGGAGUACGGUCGCAAGACUG
rnacentral:rRNA from 1 species